rnacentral:rRNA from 1 species
GACGAACGCUGGCGGCGUGCCUAAUACAUGCAAGUCGAGCGGAGAUUUAAAAGCUUGCUUUUAAAUCUUAGCGGCGGACGGGUGAGUAACACGUGGGCAACCUGCCCUGUAGACUGGGAUAACUUCGGGAAACCGAAGCUAAUACCGGAUAAUCUUUAGCGUCACAUGGCGCAAAAGUAAAAGUUGGGUUUUACCUAACACUACAGGAUGGGCCCGCGGCGCAUUAGCUAGUUGGUAAAGUAAUGGCUUACCAAGGCGACGAUGCGUAGCCGACCUGAGAGGGUGAUCGGCCACACUGGGACUGAGACACGGCCCAGACUCCUACGGGAGGCAGCAGUAGGGAAUCUUCCGCAAUGGACGAAAGUCUGACGGAGCAACGCCGCGUGAACGAUGAAGGCCUUCGGGUCGUAAAGUUCUGUUGUUAGGGAA